rnacentral:misc_RNA from 1 species
UAAUAAGUGUUUUAUGGCACUUUUAAAUCCAUAUCCACCUUGUGUGCAAUGUCAGUCGUUCUUUCUUCAUGGAAGGAUCGACCAAACAUCAACCUUUAUCUAUUGAACUCUUUGUCUGAAAAUAUUAUGAAUAAACAAUUCAAAAUA